GACGUAGGGUCCGAGCGUUGUCCGGAGUUACUGGGCGUAAAGGGCGCGUAGGCGGUUAUCUGCGUCACACGUGAAAGCCCCUGGCUCAACCAGGGAGGGUCGUGUGAAACGGGGUAACUGGAGGCAGAGAGAGGCUGGUGGAAUUCCCGGAGUAGUGGUGAAAUGCGUAGAUAUGCGGAGGAACACCGAUGGCGAAGGCAAUCCCCUGGGCCUGCACUGACGCUCAUGCACGAAAGCGUGGGGAGCAAACAGG
rnacentral:rRNA from 1 species